CAAAGUCGUCGUCAGAAAAAUUCAGAUCCAUUGACUAAAGAAUAGAGUAUACUUGGAGUCAGGGACAAUGAAAUAGAGUUCUCACUUUCUCAAAGCAAACAGACACUUCCUUCAGUGUCUGAACUUAGAUACUAAAGAAAACACAACACAACAUUCUUUCCUACUUAACUAACUAACGAGGUUUCUCACUCUUGUCAAAUUAAGACACUGUUCAUCAGCUCUGUGCAAUGCUCUCCACUGUCCGACCCCUCCUCAUUUUCAUCAUCUGCUCUUGUUUCCUCAUAUGCCUGACUCUUGCCAAGCAUCAAAAAGAUGUUCCUGUCACUCUAUGGGUAAACAAGGCUGCACCAUAUAAUAAUCCACAAGAGACCUACAGUUAUUAUAGCCUUCCAUUUUGUCGUCCUACUGAUGGUGAUCACAAGCGGGGUAGCCUCGGCGAGGUUCUUGGAGGAAAUGAUCUUAUUGAUAGCCGAAUUGACAUAAAGUUUAAAAGAAAUGUGGAGAAAAGCUCAAUUUGUGAACUUAAGUUGGAUGCAUCAAAAGUGGCACAGUUUAAAUAUGCAAUUGACAAUUUGUAUUGGUUUGAAUUUUUUAUGGAUGAUUUGCCAAUAUGGGGUUUCGUGGGCGAGGUGCAUCCUGACAGAAAUCAAGAUAUCAAGCAUGUAAUCUAUACACACAAGAAUCUUCUUAUUAAGUACAAUGGAGACCAGAUCAUUUUUGUCCAACUGUAUCAAGAGAGCCCAAAGCCAUUGGAGGAAGGAAGGGUCUUGGACAUGACAUAUUCUGUUAAAUGGGUCCCGACAAACGUUACUUAUGCACGACGUUUUGAUGUUUACCUUAAUUUCACCUUUUUUGAGAACCAGAUUCAUUGGUUCUCUGUUUUCAAUUCCAUGAUGAUGGUUAUUUUCCUCACUGGGUUGGUGUCUAUGAUUUUGAUGCGCACUCUUCGCAAUGAUUACGCAAAAUAUGCUCGUGAAAAUGAUGACAUGGAGACUUUGGAAAAGGAUGUACAUGAAGAGUCUGGUUGGAAACUCGUCCAUGGUGAUGUCUUCCGACCUCCAGAAAAUUUGGCUCUGCUUUCAGCAGUUGUCGGGACUGGUGCUCAGCUUGCAACACUGUGUUCUCCUUGUCAUUAUAUCUGCCAUGAUUGGAAAUUUGUACAUAGGGAGAGGAGCAAUUAUUACAACAUUUAUUGUAUGUUAUGCUCUUACAUCAUUCAUCUCAGGAUAUGUGAGUGGUGGCCUGUACUCUCGUAAUGCCGGUGAAAAUUGGAUAAAGUCAAUGGUCCUUACAGCAUCACUUUUCCCCUUUUUGUGCUUUGGGGUUGGGUUCAUCGUAAACACAAUUGCCAUAUUUUACGGAUCCUUAGUUGCUGUUCCCUUUGGCACAAUCGUAGUUGUCUUUGUUAUUUGGGAUUUUAUUUCGUUGCCCCUGACUCUUCUUGGUACUGUUGUUGGAAGAAACUGGAGUGGUGCGCCAAACAAUCCAUGCCGUGUUAAGACUAUCCCUCGUCCUAUCCCUGAGAAGCAAUGGUACCUUAAACCAUCUGUAAUUUCUAUGGUGGGAGGUCUUCUUCCCUUUGGAAGCAUUUUUAUUGAGAUGUAUUUCAUCUUCUCUUCCUUCUGGACCUACGCGGUGUACUACCAUGUGUAUGGAUUUAUGCUCCUCGUUUUCAUUAUUCUGAUCAUCGUCACUGUUUGCGUGACAAUUGUGGCAACAUAUUUCUUGCUGAACGCGGAGAACUAUCAUUGGCAGUGGACUUCAUUCUUCUCUGCUGCUUCAACUGCUUUUUAUGUGUACCUCUACUCCAUAUAUUACUAUUAUGCAAAGACUAGGAUGUUUGGUCUUUUCCAGACCAGCGUUUACUUUGGCUACACUCUGAUGUUCUGCCUUGGUCUCGGCACACUAUGUGGUGCUGUAGGGUAUCUCGGCUCUAAUUUGUUCGUCAGGAGGAUUUUCAGCAAUAUCAAAUGUGAUUGAAUGCCUAAUACUGCACAAGAGAGGUUACUCUUUAUAGAGUUUUCUGCGUUGAGUUCUACCUAUCUCUUGAGAGAGUAGUUGUAUGGUCAGUGAUUUCCAGCUGAUUUCAUGGCAAUAUUGAUCAUAAUUAGAUGAAGUUAUACAUUAUAUUGACCAGAACUAGCAUUUUGUAUCUUUUGAGACAUUGAGAAUCAAAUUUCAUAAAGCAAACUAUUACAUGGAUAAAUUUAAAUUGAUAACCGUGGUCUUCGGACAACUUGUGUGGA